GGGGCGCAGCAGGCGCGAAACCUCCUCAAUGCACUAACGUGCGAAGGGGUUACCUCGAGUGCCAUCUGAAAAAGGUGGCUUUUCCUCGGUCUAAAUAGCCUUGGGAAUAAGAGGGGGGGCAAGACUGGUGUCAGCCGCCGCGGUAACACCAGCCCCUCGAGUGGUGGGGAUGAUUAUUUGGCCUAAAGCGUCCGUAGCCGGCCGGGUAAGUUUCCCGUUAAAUCCAACGUCUCAAGCGUUGGACCGCGGGAAAUACUGCCUGGCUAGAGAGUGGGAGAGGUAAGCGGUAUUCUGGGGGUAGGGGCGAAAUCCUUUGAUCCCCGGAGGACCACCAGUGGCGAAGGCUGCUUACUAGAACACGUCUGACGGUCAGGGACGAAAGCUGGGGUAGCGAACCGGAUUAGAUACCCGGGUAGUCCCAGCUGUAAACGAUGCAUGCUAGGUGUUGGGUUGGCCACGAGCCACCCCAGUGCCGCAGGGAAGCCGUUAAGCAUGCCGCCUGGGAAGUACGAUCGCAAGAUUGAAACUUAAAGGAAUUGGCGGGGGAGCAC
rnacentral:rRNA from 1 species